rnacentral:rRNA from 2 species
CAACCCCUGUGACAUACCUAUACGUUGCCUCGGCGGAUCAGCCCGCGCCCCGUAAAACGGGACGGCCCGCCCGAGGACCCCUAAACUCUGUUUUUAGUGGAACUUCUGAGUAAAACAAACAAAUAAAUCAAAACUUUCAACAACGGAUCUCUUGGUUCUGGCAUCGAUGAAGAACGCAGCAAAAUGCGAUAAGUAAUGUGAAUUGCAGAAUUCAGUGAAUCAUCGAAUCUUUGAACGCACAUUGCGCCCGCCAGUAUUCUGGCGGGCAUGCCUGUUCGAGCGUCAUUUCAACCCUCAAGCUCAGCUUGGUGUUGGGACUCGCGGUAACCCGCGUUCCCCAAAUCGAUUGGCGGUCACGUCGAGCUUCCAUAGCGUAGUAAUCAUACACCUCGUUACUGGUAAUCGUCGCGGCCACGCCGUAAAACCCCAACUUCUGAAUGUUGACCUCGGAUCAGGUAGGAAUACCCGCUGAACUUAAGCAUAUCAA